AAUCAUUUGUCUUUUAAAUGAAGACUUGUAUGAACGGCAAAACCUUUUCCAACUGUCUCCCCUCCCAUCCUUUCAAAUUUCUUCCUGUGUGAAGAAGCACAGAUACAUUAGAAAGACGAGAAGACCCUGUCGAGCUUUAACCACUAAGUGGGCCCUAUUUUUUUCAGGCACCACUAAAAGGUUUUGGUUGGGGCAACCAUGGAGAAAAAAGAUCCUCCAGAGCAAAUAGAAGAAAGCUUUUCACUAUUUUUACUACUGAGAACCAGGAACUGGUAUUCGGAAAAAGUUACCGCAGGGAUAACAGCGUCAUCUCCUCUGAGAGUCCUUAUUGACGAGGAGGUUUGCGACCUCGAUGUUGGAUUGGGGCCCCCUUAGGGUGCAGAAGCUCUAAACGGUUAGACUGUUCGUCUAUUAAAGCCCUACAUGAUCUGAGUUCAAACCGGAG
rnacentral:rRNA from 1 species